rnacentral:rRNA from 1 species
AUUGAACGCUGGCGGCAUGCCUUACACAUGCAAGUCGAACGGCAGCACAGCAGUAGCAAUACUGUGGGUGGCGAGUGGCGGACGGGUGAGGAAUACGUCGGAAUCUGCCCAGUCGUGGGGGAUAACUAGCCGAAAGGUUAGCUAAUACCGCAUACGACCGAGAGGUGAAAGCGGGGGACCGCAAGGCCUCGCGCGAUUGGAUGAGCCGACGUCGGAUUAGCUAGUUGGCGGGGUAAAGGCCCACCAAGGCGACGAUCCGUAGCUGGUCUGAGAGGAUGAUCAGCCACACUGGAACUGAGACACGGUCCAGACUCCUACGGGAGGCAGCAGUGGGGAAUAUUGGACAAUGGGCGCAAGCCUGAUCCAGCCAUGCCGCGUGAGUGAAGAAGGUCUUCGGAUUGUAAAGCUCUUUUGCCAGGGACGAUAAUGACGGUACC